rnacentral:rRNA from 1 species
UACGUAGGGGGCAAGCGUUGUCCGGAAUCAUUGGGCGUAAAGAGCGCGUAGGCGGUCCGGUAAGUCGGUUGUGAAAACUGGGGGCUCAACCCUCAGAGGCCGACCGAUACUGCCGGGCUAGAGUCCGGAAGAGGCGAGUGGAAUUCCUGGUGUAGCGGUGAAAUGCGCAGAUAUCAGGAGGAACACCAAUGGCGAAGGCAGCUCUCUGGGACGGUACUGACGCUGAGACGCGAAAGCGUGGGGAGCGAACAGG